CGGACGGGUGAGUAAUGUAUGGGGAUCUGCCUGAUGGCGGGGGAUAACUACUGGAAACGGUAGCUAAUACCGCAUAAUGUCUACGGACCAAAGCGGGGGACCUUAGGGCCUCUUGCCAUCGGAUGUGCCCAGAUGGGAUUAGCUAGUAGGUGGGGUAACGGCUCACCUAGGCGACGAUCCCUAGCUGGUCUGAGAGGAUGACCAGCCACACUGGAACUGAGACACGGUCCAG
rnacentral:rRNA from 1 species